GUGCAGGCUCACACUUCUAUGGCAAUAUGUUCCCAAAAAAUUUAGCAAGCAACACUAUAGCUAGUUACACCUUUUGUGUUUUUCCGUGUAUCUCCAAAAAACAGUAGAGCAUAUUUGUUAUCUGUGCGGGGGUCUGGUAUAUCGAUGAUUUUUUUUGGUGCACCUAGCCCUGUGAAUAGCUCUAUAUGUGAACCUUUUUAUUAUCUCCAUGCAUAUGAAUUGCUUGUUCUGUGUAAUGCGACUUGCCCUCGAGCCUGUGUAUCGGGGAUGCAGUACCAGUUUCACCAUGUGUCCCUCUCUGUGCUUUUACAGUUUUUUGCAGGAUAAUUCUCGAAAAAAGGGAGCCCAGUAAUCUGCACAUUUACAAUUAAGAAACUUCAUCAUGUGCUCCCAGGAGCAGCACAACAACCAUACUUGUUGCUCAUGGAUCUGGGAAAAACAAGGGAGAACACUGCGAGGAAGAAGGUGCAAUCAGAUAUGAAAAAACAAGCCAUUGCAGGGUCCCUCCGAUUUUGGGGGAG